rnacentral:lncRNA from 1 species
UGUCCUCCCAGUUCUUACUCCCUUUGGGACCAAAGGGACCACAUUAGCAGACACAGCCUGGUGGGUUCCACUAUCGGUUUUCAGGGUCAAGCUGCUGCCUCCACACUGAGGAUAGUGGAACCAGAAGAGCUCAAAGUCACAAACAGCAACAGAAACUAUGGGUCCUGGUCUGCUGGCACCUGAUAGAAAGAGAUGAGAUCCAUUCUUAAAUGGAACACUAACAGGAUGGCAUCUAAUGAAUGACUGAGACUUUAGUCAGACUGAGUGGAAACACUGGAGCCAAUCAGAGCUAUGUCUCAGAAGAAAUACACAAAUAUCCAGGAUGUCAUACCAAGGAGAGGAGUGAUUUGGGCUGCCUCUCCCUCCUCCACAGUAACCUCCCUCACCUAAGUGAUCUUGUCAAAGUAAGCCAUUGCUCAAACUACCGUCCUCUCCUACCCAAGCCAACUGCUCCAAUUUUCUCCUAUUCUAACAGCAUUGGAAAUAGCAAGGGGUGGGGGUAGAAUGGAAAAUGACAUUCAAUAACUGAAGAUACUUUUUUAUGUCCCAUACUACCUGAUUGUCAUGAAACAACUAAGAGCUCUUCCAACUUGGCAUCAAAGUUUAAAAUGACUUUUUUUUUUUCCAGAUGGGGUCUCAUUAUGUAGCCUCUGGCUGUCCCAGAACUUGCUUUGCAGACCAGACUGGCCUCAAACUCACGAAGUUCC